rnacentral:lncRNA from 1 species
UACUGUUUUUGCAGUAAUGGUGUGUCACUGUUUUUACUUUUAGCGCAUCAGUGCUUUGAGGAUUCAAGGUGUUUCCUAAACUUUAAAUCGUUAAACUGGGAGUAGUUCUCAUUACACUGUUCUAAGAUUUUGCUGUUGUGUGCAAAGAGGAAGUUGGACCAAAAUGCCUGUUUGAAUAAACUGGAAUCAUGUCUUCCUGCUAUACCAUAAGAUUUUCAAAAUUAAAUUUGGGAAUUUUGAUAGCUUCAGAAUAAUUUAUUUUGGGGAAAGGGUUUCAACCCUACCAGCCUAUGUAUCCAGCCAGUCCAUCCUAAAGGAAAUCAGUCCUGAAUAUUCAUUGGAAGGACUCAUGCUGAAGCUGAAACUCCAAUACUUUGGCCACUUGAUGCAAAGAACUGACUCAUUUGAAAAGACACUGAAGCUGGGAAAGAUUGAAGGCGGGAGGAGAAGGGGAGAACGGAGGGUGAGAUGGUUGGAUGGCAUCCCCAGGACUCAAUGGACAUGAGUUUGGGUAAGUUUUGGGAAUUGGUGAUGGACAGGGAAGCCUGGCAUGCUGCGGUCCAUGGGGUCAUAGAGUCGGACACGACUGAGCGACUGAACUGAACUGAACUGAGGCUACAUAUUGGUGUAUAAGCAAAUGCUUAUGAAUGGGCUUCCCAGGUGGCACAGU